GGAGGGUACAGCUCAGUGGUAGAGCACAUGCUUAGCAUGCACGAGGUCCUGGUCUCAAUCCCCAGAACCUCCC
rnacentral:tRNA from 1 species